ACACCUCAACUCUCAUGGUUUGCCAUGAUGAGCUUGGACUUUGGGGGUCUUGCUGGCCUGUGGUCAGCUCCUCUCAAAUGGAUUAGCUUGCCAGUGUUUGGUGGCAUCACAGGUGUGAUAACUAUCUACGCUUGUGGUUUUCCACCAGGUAACCUUCAGCAAUGGGGGUUCGCUGGGGCUCAUAAAUGUCUCUCCUCAGUGAGGACAGCUCUUUGAAC
rnacentral:misc_RNA from 1 species